GGUGGAGGCAGAGGGAGGGCUCCAGCCGCCAGCCCGGGAGGUACGGAAGUUCGCCGCCGCCGUUCAUUGGCGGCGGGCGAGGCUUUCAUCAUUUCUCGGAAAAGUCAAUUUCAUUUUCACUUCCCCACGUCGCGGCCGCCGCGGGGAGCAACAAGCGGCAGCGCGUGGAGUGUGUGGCUCGCGCCGAGGGGCGCGCGCUUUUUCCGCCGCGGCCACUCUGGGAGUGUGGGCUCCAGAAGGAGCGGGCCGGGCCGCUGGCUUGCGAGCUGGCCACCAACAGCUGGUGGCCCUAGGGAAGGAAGGAGAUCCCUGACUCUGCGUCCUACCUGAAGGUGGAAACCAACCAGAGAGAGGGAGCGAGAAAGCCUGGGAAGCCCGAGGACCCUUCCUGACCUGUGGGUUAAGUGUUCAGAACCGCUGUGCUCAGGCUGCACAGACAAAGUCGUCUUGGAAAAUCGCCCGCUGCAAAGGAAUGUCAGGAACGACAUCAGCUGAAAAGAAGGCAGUACUUGCGCCCCAUACUUUAUUGGAUCUCCUACUGGGGGACAGGGUUGGUGAAAGGGGUUGAAGGGCCAGCCUGGCACUCUGUGUGGAAACUAGGAUGGUUAGGAAGGCCUUCCUCUAGUAAGUCACUCUCCAAAGUUACUCAUGCCUUGCCAAAAUGAGACAGGCAAGGGUGUGAGUUACUUGAACUUAAAAUGUCUUGAUUGGGACUGGUCCUGGAGGGAAGGCUGCAUAUUAACUCCUAGCCGAGUUCAAAUUUAGCAUCCCUCCUAGUUGGACAUCCCUGGCCGCUGUCCUCUGUGCUGUUCGUGGAGGCUCUACAGAAGGCGAGAAGAGGGCCCAGGACCCAUGACAGGUGCAUCGCUGAUGCCUAUUGGCUCCGCUAGGCCACCGCACUUGGAACCUCCUGCUCCUUGGUCACAUCACUUUGAAAGUAUUCCCUUACAUUUAGUUACACCUGCUUCUUGCCUGGCUUACAGUUUCCUCAGCCUGCCACCUGCCUUCUCUAGCCACUGGGGAAAGGCCCACCCUAGGAGACUGUCACUACCUAUGAGUAAACUUCUGAAAAUUAAUUCUACCUCCUCUUUGUCACAGAGUUACUGGAUUCCACAGACAGGGACAAGGGAAAGCAUCCAAGCACCUGUGGAAGGAUGACAGUGAGAUUAAGGACCCUGUUUUAUGGUCUCAAAAUAGUUUCCUCGUCCACACAGUGUCCUUUAUCCCUCCCAUAAUAACACUGGACAAUCCUUGCAUUUAUAUUUCAUAUAUCACAAGAUAUAUGUAACCACAAGAAUGUACAAACUGCAUGGUAGUUGGCUGUCUUUGCCUACCAGGCACCUAUGUUAAAAGCCUAAUAAUCAUAGGUCAGUUUUUUUUUUUUUCUGGCUUUUUGUGUGUAGGGGUGAGUGUGGUGCAUGUGUGCACGUGUGUGCUCACUGAGGCCAGAGUGUUCUGCUCAGCCGUUCUCCGCGUUAUUGAUUUGAGACAGGGUUUCUCACUGAACCUAGAACUAGGCUGGCAGCCAGCUGCUCCAGCAAUUCUCAUGUCUCUGCCAACCACAGCCCUGGAAUGAGGUGGGCACAGAGCCAAACCUGGCUUUUCAAGUGUAUUAGGGAUUUGAACUCAACUCCCCAUCGCUGGAUUAGCAAGCACCCUUCCCCCAUCUCUGCAGGCCCCCGUUGUUGUUAUUGUUGUUGUUGUUUUCUUUGCUGUUGCUAUUUUUAUUUUUUGCUUGUUUGUUUGUCUGUUUUUAGACAGGGUCAUCUUAUAGAGUCUUGACGAGCCAGAACUGUUUUCCAUUGUUAGUCUGGGAACUAACAAUGUUCCUGCCGUAGCUCUCGAAUCCUGGAAUUAUGGGUCUGUGUUAUCGCUAUCUGUUUAUUUUAAUCUGUGCCCAAACCAUUGUCUUCUCUUCCCCAGAACAGGGAGAGGAAAGGCAUACAUGAAUAGUUCCUCCAGUCCCCAUCAACAUGGCUUCUUUCUGAACCUUUUAUCUCCAUUCAGCAGACCCAAGGAACGGAAGAAACAAUGAGGUCUGGUGAGGCCAACCGAUGUCUCUUUCCUGGUCUCUAUGAUAGGAGCUUCCUCACAGGUGAAAACUCAGGGGAGCCAGAGAGGACCGUGCCCACAAAUCUCUACCCUGCACCCUAAUGCACAGAGGCUAGUCCUGGAAAGCCCGUUGCCAGGUACAGAAAGCAUCCUGUCUCCGUGAUGAGUGGCCUCUCAUUUGUGCCUUCCCUAGACUCUCCAUCAGGAAAUCAUCCUGCCUGCUCUAAGUGCAAGCCAAUCUCACUGUUUCAGAAAAAGCAAUGCCCUACUUAUGUGUGGCCUUUAGUCAGCAACAAAAAGUUUCUUGGACUGUUUAGUUUUUUGUUUUUGUUUUUGUUUUUUUUUUUUUUUUAGUUGUUCCUGAUACCUUCCUUCCCACAGCAUCUAUCAAUCCAUCCAUCCAUCCAGUCCUAUCAGAACACAUCCAGUUACAAUCACUCAUGUCCUAGUUAAGGGUCUGUGCAACACCCCAGUGUCUCUGGAUGAGACCGAUCAUUGCAACUCCUUGGGUUCCUCCACACCAAUAGACACAUGGUUAUCCAAAUUAAGCAGAAAUUGACUUCACUUAAAGCCCAACUCUUGUCCUUUUGCCCCUCAGAAACCCACCAUUCUGGAGCUUACAGAAUAAAGGCCAUAUUAGUUAUAAGAUGUAAAAUCAGUUUACUGUGGUGGCAGACUACUGCCCGGCUUCCCUUGCUCCCAGUGCAGGUGCCCGUGUGCCCUUGUAAGCCAACAGUCUUUAUUUACAGAACAUCAGAGUCAUUCUCACAUUCCUUAUUUGUCAUUAGCCUGGGGACCCAGCACACAGAGGGUCAGAUAUUUUUGAAUCCAUUAUUCCUUGCUCUUUUCUCUGAGUUCAUAGAGAGUAGUCUAGAAUUUGUUUUAUACUUCAAUAGCAUUUUUAAAAGGUACGUUUAGGGGCUGGAGAGAUGGUUCAGUGGUUAAGAGCACAGCUCCUCUUCCAGAGGUCCUGAGUUCAAUUCCCAGCACCCACAUGGUGACACACAACCAUCUAUAAUGGGAUCUGAUGCCCUCUGCUGGUGUGUCUGAAGACAGCUACAGUGUACUCACAUAUAUAAAAAUAAAUCUUUUUUUUAAAAAAAGUAAAAGAUUGUUUUUUUUUAUUUUGUGUGCAUGAGUGUUUCGCCUGUAGGCAUGCGCACUCUGUGUGCUGGAGCCCACAGAGGUCAGCAGAGGACAGCAGAUCUGGAACUGGCCUGUGGAUGGUUGAGUUUCCAUUUGGGUACUGGAACCUGAACCUGGGUCCUCUGCAAGAGUUGUAAGUCCUCUUAACUGUUGACCCAUCUCGCCAGACCCCUUUAAUAACAUUCUAAGACAAAUGUAACAUUAUAUGGAAGCCAGAAAACAGAGAAGUUGAAAGAAAAUAAGAGUUGCUGAGCGUGGCAGCACAUGUCUGCAGUCCCAGCAUUUGGGAGGCUGAGGGAGGCUGACCCCGAGUUCAAGGCAAGCCUGGGCUAUAUAGGGAAGCCUUUUUUAAAAAGAAACAAGGUUGAAGAUGUAGCUCAACUGUUAGUAUUUCCUUAAUGUAAGCAAAGACUGGAAUCUGGCUUCUACCAUGUACAUAAAUGUACACACACACACACACACACACACACACACAGAGAGAGACAGAGGUGGAGUCCCACAAUUUUAUUCUCAGAAAUAGACCUAUCAAUAUUUGUAUGUGCUUCCCGUUAGUAAUCUUUCGAAUGUGUAAUUUCCCAUCCUCAUCUGUUCAUCUUUCCUGGUGCAGCCUGCACUUCCCAUCCCCCACUGGGCUUCUGUGAUAUCUUUCUGUCCCGUUCCACUUCUUGGCUGGCUCUUCCUUUGCUGCCAGCCUCCUAAAUUAUGGUGUUCCCAGGCGUUCUAUCUUCAACCCUCUUAUUUUCUCAUUUUAUAUGUUUUUCCUCUUUGGACGCUCUCGUCCACGCCCAGAGCCUGAGAUAUCACUACAGAUGGUCCUGAACUUAACAAUCAUUUACUUAACAAUUUUCCAAUUAUGCGGUGGUACAAAAGCAACAAGGACUCAGUAGAAAGCAGACUGCAAAUCCUGGGCGAGCACUAGGUGGUAUAUGAUACUUUGUUGCCAUGUUGGGCAAUGGCAGACCUUCUCAUCUCCCAGUCAACCACAAGGUCACCAGGUGAAACAGCCCACACCCGGUAAUGUCUCAGUUGCUACACUGUAACAUUCUCUAAGCUAGGUAUAUCAAUAGCGUUUUGGGAUACAGUGCUUCCACUGAUAAUGUGUUUAUGGGGGGGGGUCAAGCACCUUACAGGUUGAGAAGCAUCCAUAUUCGGUGAUGAUUUCAAAAUAAACUCUGACACAUAUUACUGACACAUAUUACUGACACAUAUUACUUCCUAGACGUCAGUGAGAUUCGUAUAUAUUCCCAAUUCAGGUCAAUACUCACACUAAGAAAACACAGAGGGUCUCAAGCCCAGGCUGCCUUGAAGGCAGGAUCCUCCUCCCUUGGCAGCACAAGUUCUGGUAUUACACUCUAAAACUAAACUCAAAACAUCUUUCCCUACAAACUCAUAUUUGUCAUUUCAUCGGGAGCCAGGAAUCUGGGGAACAUCACAGCACCAACACACACACACACACACACAUACACACACCUUGUUUGAGCCCCCUGGGGCUCCCCUAGACAUAGGUACUAUUUGCAAUUUUCCAGACCCUUGAGCUCAUAAAACCUAGAAUGAAUAGCACUGUGUACUUAUACCCUUGAUGAAAUGUCACUGUAGAUCAGAGAUAUAAAUAUGACUCAGAACAUCCACAUGGUUCUGAUACACAGUCACAAAAUAUUCCUUGGCUCUUUGAUGAUACACACACACACACACACACACACACACACACAUCUCUGUGGAAAAUUAAUCAAUAUAGAAAAAUACAAUCUUUUUGGUAGCCUAUGCUUUUAUAAACCACCAUUUGCUUUAUAGUAAAAUUAGAAUAUAUUCUUAGGUAUUGCAUUUUUCAUCUUAUCUGCAGCCUGGGCAUCAUACAGAAUCUCCCGGGGUGGGUUCAUCGUGAUCUCUUCAGAGAAUUAAGAAGAUAGGUAUUUAAACAGAGUGUGGGUAGAUAUUUCUCUAUCUUGGCAAAUGGGAAAAACUGAAGACACACUCAGAGUGAGCCCCCUUUUAAAAUGGACAUCUAAUUUAUCUUACUGAUAAAUGAGAUACUUUUAAUAAAAUCAUCACCUAAUUAGCAAAUACUUGCUGGGUGUCCAGAAAAUGCUUCUUAGCACCAGCUAUAUAGCAAUGUACCAAAGGAAUCAAAAGCGCAGUCAUCUGAGACAUUUUUUUUUACAGUCUAGUCAAUUACCAUGUCGAUUUCCAAUAUAGCAUCCCUGGAAAGGCAGGGACAUGGCCUCUAGCUAUAAUCACAGCUCUUAGAAUUGCGCAUCACAGUUCUAAGAAGGUGCACUGUAUAUCUUAUUAACUCCAGUCUAAGUACACUUGAGAUGGAGCCAGAGACCCUUGCCAGACUGCCAGCUCAUGGUCCAGUUCUGCCCACAGAGUCACUGGGAGCACUUCUGGGCUAGGCACUGGGGCACUCCUCCAUGAUCCUAAAAUUCAGGCAGGAAGACAUAAGGCGAUGCCCAGCGAGGGUUCCACCCUUGCCAGAGCAUAUGCUCAGUUAAGGCUAAGUCCACGCAGAGAGGUCACUGCAGAGCUCAUCCUGGUGAGGUGCAAAGAGAGUAAAGACAUCGAGGGUAAAGGUCAAAUUCUAGCAAAGGCAUCGGAACUCGGUGGUGUGCAAGCCUUUAAGGGAGUUCUGUGGAACUGGAAACACAUUGGACACAUUUUUUUUGAGCACAUUUGCUCCUUCUAGUUCACUAGAAACAGAAACUAAGCUUAGUUUGUUACAAAAUCAUGAAAAUCAUGAGUUUACAUGGGGCAAUAAAUUGCCCAAUGCUUAGUAAUAAAUAUUCUGAUGAAUAAAAGGGAAACAUAGCUCUAUAGCUCCCCCUUCUCCUAUCUCUUUCUCUGUGUGCAUCUGUUUCUGCCUCUCUCUGCUUUUUGUGUCUGUCUCUCUAUGUGUCUCUGUCUCUGUGCCUGUGUCUCUCUGUUUGUCUCUGUCUCUGUCUCUGUCUCUGUCUCUCUCUCUCUCUCUCUCCCAUCCCCUCUGUGUGAUGAGUGUUCUUGUCCAAAGGGAAGGCUUGCCACUUUAAAACCUGUCAUGAGUUGUUUUUGUUUUUGUUUUUGUUUUUGUUUUGUUUUGACAUCAUUUCCCAAGCUUCUACCUUUAAAGCUAAGUGAGGAUGGGUGCAAAGCUGUAUCUUGAUGUUCAUUUGAAAGGGCUGCUGUGAUGCCUUUCGGGAUUAAGGAGAGAAAUUUCAGAUGUGUAACCCUAAACUCAGCAAAGUAGAGCUGGAGAUACGGCUCAGCUGGUAAAGUAUCUCCGGUGGGAGCACGAGGACCAGAGUUCAGAUCUUCAGCAGUCAGCUAAAGGCUUGAUGGGAUGGUGCAUGCCUGGACUCCAGCAGGUGGAUCUGAAUGUGAAGCUAGCCUGGUCUACAUAGUGAGCUCUGGGCUAGCCAGGGCUACAUAGUAAGGCCCUAUCUCUAAACAAACAAACACAUAAGUGUGUAAAUAUAAGGUCACAUUCUGGGUAGUGGAAGUUAGAUUUCAGCGUGUAAAUGGGGAGGAAGCCGUGACUUAAGCUGCGACAUCACGUACCAGUUGUGGAUGAGGAACCUGAACAGAGGAACAAGCUGGGGACUGAGACACAGAGCUUCGGAGGCCUGGCAUCGUCUCAGAGUUGGCAGAAAGAGUUGGGAGGACAGAAAAUGUGGUUUACUUCUUACCUGUUUGAUCCUGUUCUGGGCUGGGAAGACAGUCAGCUGAUUGAAAAGGCAGAGAGAAGAAGGUAACAGUUGCCAUUACCAUCUGCUAGUCACACUUCAAGUUCAGACCACCAGAGAUGAGAAAGAAAACACAGCCGGCCAUGCUCAAGCCACCACACAGAGGAAGAGAGAAGGAAGUGUUUGGACCGGGCAGCACAGGGCUCUGCCAGGGGCACCGCUGAGGGAGUCACUUGGGUAAUGUGAUGCUGGCGGAGCUAUGGCCUUGUGCUUCCACAGUACACAUGGCCGACCCUGGAGCACUUCCACGAGCUGUCCUCAUAGAAGAGGACCAUUUCUUCCUGACUGAGAAACUGGAGGACUCUUACCACCUGCUCUAUUAUCUCUCCCAGCACUUACCCGGACCACAUAAAUCCUUUUUUCCCCCCUGUGUGGAUAUUUCUGUUUAGUGUUAACUUAAGUGUGGCACACAUUGGAGGUAAGGGAAAAUUAAAAUUUUAUAUGAACACAGUGUCAACACCUCAGUGGCAUCAUGCAUGAAACCCAAAGGAGAUACUUCAAAAUGUCAACCGCAGUUUGCUUUGAAUGAGUUAUUUUUAUCUUUCUUCCCGGAACCUUCCUGUUUGUUCCUCAUACCACCUAUUAUGCAGCCUAAUGAUUUCCAUGUUUACUGUUUCUGUUCAAAAGUAAUACUUGAUUAUAAGUUUCAUUUUUAUGAAUGUAAAAUUUGGGAUAUUUUUUGCAGGUAGUUUCAGGAAUUUACUCCAGGGUACUUUUAUGAAUUGCAUAUAAACUCCAUGGGCAUAUAAAUGGUCCUCGGACAUGCAGGCAGGCAAAACACCCACACCAUCAUCCCUAAGGCGUUCUUCUGCUCAGACAAUGCAGUUGUGGAAAAGAACAAACAGACAGUAGAGCCCAAUCCACUGGGUGCACUUUGAGAACAAAGGACUGUGUGCCGUUCUGCUCGGCACAGCUUGGAAGGCCACAAGUCCAGAUCUGGACCAUUACUCUCCGGGAGGAGAUACUUGUCUCAGAGUUGUGACACAUGUCAACCACAAAUCUAAGCAGCCACAAAUCUAAGUGGCGCUGGUAUGGCUACAGCUUUGGCAUAUGUGUGUGGUUAUGAGUCUACCUCCUUCUACCCCACUCCUGGCCAUAAGAUGGUGUGCUGGGAAACUUGGCAGUGCUGAGAUGGUAAAUAAAUAAAUAAAUAAUAAAAUUAAAAAUUAAAAAAAAACUACCUUUCAGAGCCGGGGCUCAGUAGAUGUUGAUUUGGUCUUAGUUGCCAGCCUUAAGAGUUAAUGUGGGGGGCUGGAGAGAUGGCUCAGCAGUUAAGAGCACUGACUGCUUAUCCAAAGGUCCUGAGUUCAAUUCCCAGCAACCACAUGGUGGCUCACAACCAUCUGUAAUAGGAUCUAAUGCCCUCUUCUGCUGUGUCUGAAGACAGCUACAGUG